GCGGAGGAAAAGAAACCAACAGGGAUUGCCCUAGUAACGGCGAGUGAAGCGGCAACAGCUCAAAUUUGAAAUCUGGCUUCGGCCCGAGUUGUAAUUUGCAGAGGAAGCUUUAGGCGCGGCACCUCCUGAGUCCCCUGGAACGGGGCGCCACAGAGGGUGAGAGCCCCGUAUAGUUGGAUGCCUAGCCUGUGUAAAGCUCCUUCGACGAGUCGAGUAGUUUGGGAAUGCUGCUCAAAAUGGGAGGUAAAUUUCUUCUAAAGCUAAAUACCGGCCAGAGACCGAUAGCGCACAAGUAGAGUGAUCGAAAGAUGAAAAGCACUUUGAAAAGAGGGUUAAAUAGCACGUGAAAUUGUUGAAAGGGAAGCGCUUGUGACCAGACUUGCGCCGGGCUGAUCAUCCGGUGUUCUCACCGGUGCACUCUGCCCGGCUCAGGCCAGCAUCGGUUCUCGCGGGGGGAUAAAGGCCCUGGGAACGUAGCUCCUCCGGGAGUGUUAUAGCCCGGGGCGCAAUGCCCUCGCGGGGACCGAGGUUCGCGCUCUGCAAGGAUGCUGGCGUAAUGGUCAUCAGCGACCCGUCUUGAAACACGGACCAAGGAGUCAAGGUUUUGCGCGAGUGUUUGGGUGUAAAACCCGCACGCGUAAUGAAAGUGAACGUAGGUGAGAGCUUCGGCGCAUCAUCGACCGAUCCUGAUGUUCUCGGAUGGAUUUGAGUAGGAGCGUUAAGCCUUGGACCCGAAAGAUGGUGAACUAUGCUUGGAUAGGGUGAAGCCAGAGGAAACUCUGGUGGAGGCUCGCAGCGGUUCUGACGUGCAAAUCGAUCGUCAAAUCUGAGCAUGGGGGCGAAAGACUAAUCGAACCAUCUAGUAGCUGGUUACCGCCGAAGUUCCCCUCAGGAA
rnacentral:rRNA from 1 species